rfam:Brassica oleracea var. oleracea cultivar TO1000 chromosome C4, whole genome shotgun sequence
AGAAUAUAAGAACCUGUCUCUUAAUUUUUAACUAAAAAGCUAAGAACUGACUUUUAAAUAAGAGUUUUAAGAGACGGUUCUUAACUUUUUUAAUUAAAAGUUAAGAGACGGGUUCUUAUAUUCC